GUACCUGAGAGCAUUCAAAAGACACCAUUUGGGCAGGUAGGAACCACUCUGGAUUUCAGUAAAAGGCAAUGCAGAAAAUUCUAUACAAAGCUAUUCAAAAUCAUCCUAUCUUAUCCCUGCUGCGUCAAUAUCCAAGAAGAACAGAUAAUUAUGAUGCAAAUUUCCUCUCUGGAAAAAGGUCUUCUCUGCAGUAGUACCUCUGCUCUAGAAUGUUCCUUCCACUGAAACGCAGAAGGUCUUACAUCUUUUGGAUGCCUAUUGAAAAUCUGACUCU
rnacentral:lncRNA from 1 species